GUUCAAGGGAGAGCCUUUUCCUCCUUUUGCUGUUGCACCCUGGGCAGAAAUCUGAACUCCUGUGUGUGAAUUGGACCUUGACUAAUUGCUGGAGAAGACCAUCCUGCCUUCAUUCAGCCUUCAGUAUUUUGUCAGUGACUGGACUGUUGAGGCUCCUGAAACACCUGAAUAGUGUACAGAAUGAUCUGGGCUUUGCUCAGCCAUCAUCAGAGAAGCUUCCUCCUGCAGCAGAUGGGAACAAACACAGAGACCCACAGCCAGACAUCGUUUGGAGUGAGAGACCAAACAAGGAACAUUCAGCUCUAAAUGGGAUGUUUCCAUCAGCUCCCUUCCUUCAGGGUCCAAAUGAAUAACAGGAAGAGUGGGAGAGCCAGAAGGGAUGGAGGACACGAAGAAAAUAAGAUUCUCUAAGUCAACAUGAUCAAAGCUCACAUGAACUCAGAGACUGAGGCAGCAUGCACAAGGCCUGCUCGGGUCUGCGCCAGGGCCUUUGGAGAUGUAUCAUGGAUUCCAGCUGAAUGUGCGAAUGAGUGGGUCUCCGUCUCUUGUGCCUUCUUUUGGGGUCUUUCCCUUCUGUUUGCUCGUUCUGUACAAUUUCAGUGAAUUAAAUUUUGUUUUAUCUUAA